GAGGCGGUAUCGAUAUGAAUCGAACUGCACUUAUGUUACAUGGUUUAUUUGUAUUAAACAUUACUUACUGUAUAUCGUGAGUACGUUGGAUUCUGCUCUGAGCCGAAAGGACCGAGACAGAAGG
rfam:Paenibacillus sp. LPB0068 PNBC_14, whole genome shotgun sequence.